rnacentral:rRNA from 1 species
GUCAAACGCGAGCCGGCGGCGGGGGUAGUAGGGAGGGGGGAAGGGUUAAGCGGAAGUAAGGGGCGUAAAGCGGACGCAGGCGGUUGGAUAAGUUAGAUGUGAAAGCCCCGGGCUCAACCUGGGAAUUGCAUUUAAAACUGUCCAGCUAGAGUCUUGUAGAGGGGGGUAGAAUUCCAGGUGUAGCGGUGAAAUGCGUAGAGAUCUGGAGGAAUACCGGUGGCGAAGGCGGCCCCCUGGACAAAGACUGACGCUCAGGUGCGAAAGCGUGGGGAGCAAACAGGAUUAGAUACCCGUGUAGUC